rnacentral:piRNA from 1 species
UGAGAUAUUGCCUCAUAGGAUAGGAU